rnacentral:rRNA from 2 species
UAGAGUUUGAUCCCUGGCUCAGGAUGAACGCUGGCGGCGUGCCUAAUACAUGCAAGUCGAGCGAACUGAUUAGAAGCUUGCUUCUAUGACGUUAGCGGCGGACGGGUGAGUAACACGUGGGCAACCUGCCUGUAAGACUGGGAUAACUUCGGGAAACCGAAGCUAAUACCGGAUAGGAUCUUCUCCUUCAUGGGAGAUGAUUGAAAGAUGGUUUCGGCUAUCACUUACAGAUGGGCCCGCGGUGCAUUAGCUAGUUGGUGAGGUAACGGCUCACCAAGGCAACGAUGCAUAGCCGACCUGAGAGGGUGAUCGGCCACACUGGGACUGAGACACGGCCCAGACUCCUACGGGAGGCAGCAGUAGGGAAUCUUCCGCAAUGGACGAAAGUCUGACGGAGCAACGCCGCGUGAGUGAUGAAGGCCUUCGGGUCGUAAAACUCUGUUGUUAGGGAAGAACAAGUACGAGAGUAACUGCUCGUACCU